CAUUCAUUUAUUUCUGGGCUUGACUGUGUACAAUCUUGAAUAUUUUGCUCCUGAGUCUAGGUGACUGAUGCAUUCCUAAUAGUUGACUAAUUUAUGUGCUGAACUAUGGAGAAUGGAAGGAAUCCAUAGAGCACAGGGCAAGAGCAUGGGCUUUGGCCCCGAUAGCUCUGCAGCAGACACUGAGUUACCUUAGGCAAGUUACUCCUCUGAGGAUCUGUUUGUUUCCUGUAAACAAGAGAAACUAUGCCCCUUAAGUCGUGAAAAGAAUGAAGUGAGGAAACCUGAAGCACAGAAAAUUGGGUAUGUAGCCCAAGGUCACACAUUGAAUUGAGAUGCAAACAUCGUUGAGCUGUUACUCACAAGAAUGUGAUCUCCAUAAGAACAGGAUUGGGCCAAUCAGAUCAGCUGCCAAUGGUGUUCCAUGUGACACCCACCCUUACCUAACUUUCCCCUAGAAGAUCCUGAUCAUGCUUGCUCUGUCAUUAUUGAGCAUGUGCCACCCUCAGCUUCAGUCAAGACUGUUUGUGUUCCAAUAGUAUGAUACAAUGCAGCAGUGGGGCAGAGACAGCGGUGAAGAUGCAUAAAUAGAAGCACAGCCAGAUAAAGUAUUGCUGUGGUACACUGUCUCCAUGAAAAGGUCUCCUUAGUUUGGACUUACAAAGUGAAUGUUUGGGCCUGAGAUUUUGACUGACCAUUGACUUAUUGAAAAGGGUCUCCUUAUGUAUCCUGGGUUGUACUUGAACCUACAAUGUAACCAGUUUGUCUCUGAACUCACAUUGGUCCUCCUGACUCAGCCUUGUCAGUUUCCUUUGCUGAACUUGUGACUGAGGGAUCAGUGACUUUACCUCCCCUCCUUACUGGAGCCCUUGGGAGUCAGUGGAGCUCAUUUCCAUAUUCCUUACACCAGAGUCUGAAUCAAUUCAGAAACAGUUCCCAAUGGUCAGGAGGGCAGCAUAAGCCUAUUUGUGGAUAUGAGGAGGAGGUCGCUGAGAUCUAACUCGAACUUGUAAUUCUGAACUUCUGAAAACCAUUUGUCCAGUGGUAGUCUGGUUGCAGAGGGAAGCAUUUCUGAAGUAGAUUGGCAGAACACAAGAAGAGAGUGCCUGCCUCCAAGCAUGAGUCCAGUUCUGAGAGAGAUCCUCCAGCAAGAAAGCCUUGCUUCGUGGACUGCCCUUGCUACCACAAAGAGACUGACAGACCUUCCGUUGCCUUUCUCAAUUUCCUUAUAAAGCUCAAUGGCCUUUUGUGAGUCUUGACAACACACAUGACAUGUUAUGCUCUUGAGACCUCUGAGGUAGAAUAUGGUGAGGAGGGAGACUUCCUCCUGAGCUCUUUCAUAAGAGGGAAAGCAGGCAGAGGAAGAGUGGGGGCCACCAGCCAGGGGGAUGCAUAGGUGUGGCACAAUUCCACUGUGAUGGUGUUGUCUCUGGUAGCCUUUGGUAGAUCCCUUCUCUCAGAACUUCUGGGCAUACUGCAUGUAUUUCCACUUGCCCAGAACCAUGAUACUAAGAAAAAUGUUGGGAGCAGAAUGCAGCUUAUAGAACUGUAGCCCCUCGCACGUGCUCUAUGUGACAGAACCCUCGUUUUGUAGGUGUAGUUAUAAAACAUGGUGUCCACAAGCUGAAAGGAAAACAUGCAUACUCUAUGUCCUGGGAAUGUACUGAUGAUUUCACAAGACUAGUCUCAGAAAUGGAGUUCAGUAUAUGUAGAAGGGAAAUCUCUACUUAUUCUGAACUUUUUACAUAGAAGCAUGGGACUGGAUUGGUUGAAAAUCAAAAACAGUGGCCUGGAACUUGGGAGAUGGAAACAGCAACUUCUAAGGUUUUGGAAAUGACCCUGAGAAAUCACUGUCUGCCAGUUCGUAUCCAUUAAAGAAGUUAUCCAUUAAACUAGGGGAAUCCCCCCAUCUCAGUGACUCCCACAUAAAGACCACUGAUGUCUCAAGAAUAAUAGACUGGUUGGCUGAAUUGGUGGCUACAGUUACAGACUCAAUGCAUACACACACACACACACACACACACACACACACACACACACACACGGAGAGAGAAAGAGACAAACAGAGAGAGAAGGGGUGGAAUAUGGCUGAAAAGCAUGAGAUAUCUCCACCUUUCAUUUUAUCAGCUAGUGGCCAGAGAGUUCCUUACCUGGCUUAAUUAUUUUGUUUAUAAACAUUGCCUGAUGAGAGGACUGUUAAAGUGUACCAUUGAGUAAUAUGAUAACCAGAAAUUCAAAAGGUUGACUUGUAAUACUUCACAGGCAAAUUCUUUCCACGAAUAUAAGCUUGCUGCUGCUAAGAAGGGUUUAUGUCUUUAAGACUAUGGAGUAUUAACAAGGACAUUGCUUUUACAUUGAUAUAAAUCAGCACAGAGUGUGAAUUCUACAUUUUGUAGGAAAGUCUGUACAAGAGGAAAUGAAAGGAGAAUAAAGGAAUGGCUUGAGAGGUAAUGACUGGGACUAUGAAAGGUUGCACUGUUAAGGACCCUGAUCUUAUAUUCUCCAGGAUGGUAAAUGAUGUUGACUUGGAACAUGGGAACAACCCUGGACAAUGUCCCCUUUUACAUAAAUGUUAAGGGAAGGGGAAAAAAAGGACACAGCACAAAGGAGGAUUCCAGGAAUAUACAUGGCAAACAGUUUUUUCUUUAAAGUUCCAAAUUGGUAUUCUGCCCUUUUCUUACUUUUUUUUCUUGCAAAAGAAAUAUUUUGAAAACCAAAUCCUGUGCUGGGAUCUGGUGACUGGUCAUAAGUCUUGUUCGGCUUGGAAACUUGGUAAGGAUCCAAUGUGAAUAGAUUAGCUAAGUGCUGCUAUGGCCCGGCCAGACCUUCAUUUUUGGAAUUAGGAAGUUUUAUGUGAUCAAUUCAGAUAAUAACUUCAGCUAAGAGAAGCUCCCCAACCCACACACACUUUUCUUUUGCACUUAUGGCCUUUUGUAAAUCUUGACAACAGUGCAUGACUUGACUCUUCUCUUGAAACCCAUGAAAAUAGAUACUGUAUAGUUCUGAGGCCACUAUGUAGACUCACCAGCUAAUAAUUGAUGAUUCUUUUAUAACUUAAUGUACAGCAUUAAAUUGAAGAUGUGGCAGUGUCCUGCUUAGGGCCCUGAUUUGUGCAGGGCAACUGGUUCUCCUGAUUUAUGGCGAACAGCUUUGUUUAUGGUUGCCAUGGAUAUUUGAGUCUUGGUUCCUCUCCAUAAGGACUUCUGUACAUGUUAAUGAAAAUCAGACAUUCUGCUAAAGUGUAGCAACCUAUGCCUCAUUCUGCACUGCUAAUACGUCCACUAAUAAAUGUUUAUUAAUGGACCUGAUGCUUUUUCUGAUAAUAAGUUACAGUUCACAUAUAAGGCCAAUUAUUCCUAAAGAGAGCUGAAAGCAGCACAGACUAAAAUGUUGUCUCUCCAGUGCCCUCUUCCCCCCCCAAAAAAAAAACCUUUUCUUCUAAAGCAUAAUGGUAGUUAUCUGAAAAGGUAGUUGGAUGGGAUCAAAUACAUGUCUUUGGGGUGUUUGAGUGUUUAAUAGUUAAGAUUGUAGAGCAUAGGUUGAGUUCAUUAAUACUUAGCUAAAAGCAUGAUAGGCUCUGACAUGAAUUUGUUACUAAAUAUUUAGUCUUUCCUCCUUCUCUACACCUUUUUAAUCAAAUAAUAUUUGCAGAGCUAUUGAAGGCUAUGAUCAGCCUUUAUUGUCAACUUGCCUUGCUUUAGAACCACCAUGGAAAUAUACCUUUUGAGGUGUCUAUACCGAUGUUCCCAGAGUUUUUAACAAAGGACAAAGGAGCCAUCCUGAAUAUGGAUAACAUGACUUAUAGAUUGAUGUACAGAACUGAAUAAAAAUAUAAACGAAGCACAAGCAUUCAUUCAUUUUUUUCUGUACCACUGG
rnacentral:lncRNA from 1 species